AGUGUUAGUGAGUAGCUCUCUUAAAAAUUUAAGAGAGAGGAAAGUCCAUGCUUGCAUAGACUGAGAUGUCUAUAGUGUUUGUGUAAGUAUAUAAAAAAUAAAACUUAACAACUAAAGAAAUUUAGUUGAUGGCGGAGAUUAAUUCUAAGUAGAUUUCUAUAUGAACUAAUUUCUAUAAAGUGCCACAGAGACGAGUUUUGUAGAAAUACAAAAAGUGAAACGCGGUAAACCCCUCAAGCAAGAAACCUAAAUAAUGGUAAGGGACUUUAAGCUAAGAAAUUCAACGAAGCUUAAAAAUUUAGAAAUAAAUUAGAUUAAUUACUCACCUUUUUAACAAAAAGACAGAACAUGGCUUAUUCUC
rnacentral:RNase_P_RNA from 2 species